GACGAACGCUGGCGGCGUGCUUAACACAUGCAAGUCGAACGAUGAAGCACCAGCUUGCUGGUGUGGAUUAGUGGCGAACGGGUGAGUAACACGUGAGUAACCUGCCCCCCACUCUGGGAUAAGCCUGGGAAACUGGGUCUAAUACUGGAUAUGACCGAUCUCCGCAUGGAGUGUUGGUGGAAAGUUUUUGUGGUGGGGGAUGGACUCGCGGCCUAUCAGCUUGUUGGUGGGGUAAUGGCCUACCAAGGCGACGACGGGUAGCCGGCCUGAGAGGGCGACCGGCCACACUGGGACUGAGACACGGCCCAGACUCCUACGGGAGGCAGCAGUGGGGAAUAUUGCACAAUGGGCGAAAGCCUGAUGCAGCGACGCCGCGUGAGGGAUGACGGCCUUCGGGUUGUAAACCUCUUUCACCAGGGACGAAGCCACAAGUGACGGUACCUGGAGAAGAAGCACCGGCUAACUACGUGCCAGCAGCCGC
rnacentral:rRNA from 1 species